rnacentral:rRNA from 1 species
GAUGAACGCUAGCUACAGGCUUAACACAUGCAAGUCGAGGGGCAGCAUGGUCUUAGCUUGCUAAGGCCGAUGGCGACCGGCGCACGGGUGAGUAACACGUAUCCAACCUGCCGUCUACUCUUGGACAGCCUUCUGAAAGGAAGAUUAAUACAAGAUGGCAUCAUGAGUCCGCAUGUUCACAUGAUUAAAGGUAUUCCGGUAGACGAUGGGGAUGCGUUCCAUUAGGUUGUUGGUGAGGUAACGGCUCACCAAGCCUUCGAUGGAUAGGGGUUCUGAGAGGAAGGUCCCCCACAUUGGAACUGAGACACGGUCCAA